UCGCAUCUGUGCAUGCAGCAUAUCAAUAAGCGGAGGAAAAGAAACUAACAAGGAUUCCCUUAGUAACGGCGAGCGAAGCGGGAAGAGCUCAAAUUUGAAAUCUUAUAGGGUUUCCCUUGACGAAUUGUAGUUUAAAGAAGUGUUUUCUGCUGAAGUUUUGGUAAAAGUUCUUUGGAAUAGGACAUCAUAGAGGGUGAGAAUCCCGUAUUUGACCAUUUACUUUUCAGCUUUGUGAUACACUUUCAAAGAGUCGGAUUGUUUGGGAAUGCAGUCCAAAAUGGGUGGUAAAUUUCAUCUAAAGCUAAAUAUUGGCGAGAGACCGAUAGCGAACAAGUACCGUGAGGGAAAGAUGAAAAGAGACUUUGAAAAGAGAGUUAAACAGUACGUGAAAUUGUCAAAAGGGAAGCGUUUGACACCAGUGUUGUUUUUCUGAAAAUCAAUUAAAGAACUGUUUAUGCUAAACUUGUUUAGACUUUAUCAGCUAACUGUUUAGUUUUGAGCUUUUCUUUAAUGCACUUUUCAGUUAACAAGUCAACAUCAAUUUCUUUUGCUGUAAAAAAGCUUGAGGAAGGUGGCUUGAGAUUCGUCUUAAGUGUUUAUAGCCUCUUGCCUAUGCAGUCGGAGAGAUUGAGGUCUGCAGCGUAGAUCCUUCGGGGCUAAAUGCAUUUGUGCUAAGUUAUAGCAUUUUAUAGACAACUUGUUGACUAUGAUUUGUCUUGUAGCUUACUCGCUUAUGUUAUUUUACCUACGCUUAGGAUGUUGAUAGUCACAGCGUGUAC
rnacentral:rRNA from 1 species